rnacentral:rRNA from 1 species
UAGGGAAUCUUCCACAAUGGGCGAAAGCCUGAUGGAGCAACGCCGCGUGUGUGAUGAAGGGUUUCGGCUCGUAAAACACUGUUGUAAGAGAAGAAUGACAUUGAGAGUAACUGUUCAAUGUGUGACGGUAUCUUACCAGAAAGGAACGGCUAACUACGCGCCAG